UAAUUGAAGAGUUUGAUCAUGGCUCAGAUUGAACGCUGGCGGCAGGCCUAACACAUGCAAGUCGAGCGGCAGCGGGGGAAAGCUUGCUUUCCUGCCGGCGAGCGGCGGACGGGUGAGUAAUGUCUGGGGAUCUGCCCGAGGGCGGGGGAUAACCACUGGAAACGGUGGCUAAUACCGCAUAAUCUCUGAGGAGCAAAGUGGGGGACCUUCGGGCCUCACGCCAUCGGAUGAACCCAGAUGGGAUUAGCUAGUAGGUGAGGUAAUGGCUCACCUAGGCGACGAUCCCUAGCUGGUCUGAGAGGAUGACCAGCCACACUGGGACUGAGACACGGCCCAGACUCCUACGGGAGGCAGCAGUGGGGAAUAUUG
rnacentral:rRNA from 1 species